CAUGGCGCUGCACAGCACUGCCUGCAGCUGCUCCGUGCGAUCCAGGUAGCUGGGCUCCAGGCCCUGCAACACAGGGGGCCGCGUGACCUUGGAGCGUGCCCUGACCCACACACCGCACGAUCCGCCCAUGCCACCGCCAAUAGCAUGGGCAGCCACUCUGCCAGGGAGGGGCCACCGGGACGCCUACAGACAGAAAGGGAGACUGAGGCCGUAGCGUUCACCUCUGUCGAGCCUGAAGAUCACAACCCUGACUCUGGCCAUGCAGCCAGCAGCCAGCACCCAGCACCCCAGAUCCACUCACGACUGCACCCAAGGAGUCCCUGGGGUUGCGGACGGAGGUGCAGAUGGCCAGGCCUGGAAAGACCAGUGAACCUGGGAAGGCCCUGGGACACAGGGCCCGGUAGACGGUGAGAACCUGUAGCCGUGGGAAGGUCUUGCAGGCCCAGCAAAGUCCCUGCCUUGUGCAUAGGGACCAGCUGCAUGAAGGGACAUUGCUGUGGGGCGUCGGAGAUCAGGUACUCCACCCUCCACUCUGCCAUGGGCACCUCAGCGCCUGUUUGUGGGACAGGACGACACCCCAGUGUCAGCUGGAUUGGAACAAAGGUCACAGAGAGCUGGCGACCAUCACGGCUGGGAGGGAGCCGGGUGGGGCAGCCAGGGAAAGGUCGCGGCAUUACUGGAGGGCCUCGCCUGGCUGCCUCCGGAAUCCCACUGAAGCCAGCUGAGGAGGGGUUUUGGGGAGGGCACAUGGCUGGGCAUGCACCCAAGCAUGGCGCUGGCUCCAUGCUACUGGAGGCCUGUUUUCACUCCGAAAGUUCUGGCACUUCCUGAACACAGAGGUGUGCCCCCCUUGCACCCACCCUGUGAGUGGUCAGUCCAGCCUGUGCUCCUGGCCUCCUCGUAGUCCGAGGGGCCUGCAGAUGCCCACCCCGGUGCCCAUCGGUAUGUAGGAAGACAGAGCGUCACUCCGCUGAACAGCACAGAGGAGAGGAGGGAGACCACGGCGCCUCCUGGUGCAGGGCCUGCUGGGCUGGCGGGCACCCUCCAGCCCAAAAUAUGGGCCAUCAGCCCUUUGCAGAAAGACCUGGCUGACCGUCAGAUCUCCGGUGGCGGAAAGGCCGGUGAGUGGGGUGCGCAGCUCGGACCUGCUGUCCGGAGUCGAGGGGUGGUUAACUUCUCAGAGCCUCUGAGUCCGCACUGAGGGUGUGCAGAGGCCUCACGGAGCGUCACCAUCCGGCCCGCAUGAUGUGCCCUCCAGUUCCGGGCCAGGGGAAACGCCGCACGGGCGUCAGGACCAAGGGAGCCAGGGUCCGCGGGGACUUCCGAAACCAAAGGGCAGUGGGGGUUCCCUGCUGGGGGCUGUACCUGCUGGUGGAGACCCAGGCGCAAAGUGAGGCCCCCGUGGCGCGGCUCGUCCCCGUGCUCGGCGCCCAGCAGGUGCUUGUUGAAGUGAGGCAGCGGCAGGCUGGGCCUGAAGUCUGAGCUCAGCAUGCUGACGGGUGCCAGCAGGAUGGUGGCAUUGGUGACGGGGCCUGGGGGGCGCGGUGGUCAGGCCCCGCCCCAUCCCGGCCAGGCCCACAGCAUCCCAGCCAGUCCCCGCCCCACCCCGACCAGGCCCCGCCCCAUCCCGGCCAGUCCCCGUUCCGCAGAAAGCCAGGCCUGACCCCUAGCCAGGCCCCACCCCAGCUCCUGCAGGGCUUUUCCCUGGGACCCCAGGCCUCGCCUCCACCUGCAAUGGACGCGGGCUGAGCACAGAGGCGCGCCCACCUUUGAGGGCCACCGUCCGGAUGCACUGCUUGCUCUGCACGUCCCAGAGCCGCACGGUCUCGUCGUGGGAGCCCGAGAGCAGCACGCUGCCGUCCGUGGACACUGACAGGCAGGUCACCUGGUUCCUGGACAGACAGGCGGGGGUCAGUGCCAGGCAGGACAUGCCAGAGAGCCCCCACCCCAUGCCCACAUCGCCCCUGUGCCCCCAGCUCCCCACCUGUGCCCUUUGAAGACCUUCCCGGAGUCCUGCUCUGGCUGGAAGCUUCUCUCCCUCUGUCCCGGCUGCAAAGGCGGAGACGGGUGUGAGCAGCAGGGCCGAUGCCCUCAGCCCCAGGGCAGGGCGCAGCCCACCGCCCGCCCGAUGCACUCACCCAGGUGAACAGGUCCACCUGGAAGAUGGAACCGUCGCUGCCCCCGCAGAACAGGUGGUGCUCGGCCAGGUCCAUGGUCACCGCCAUGACGGCCACAUCAAAGAGUACGGAGAGGAGCAGCUCCCCCGAGGAGACCUCCCACAGCUGCGGGCAGGCAAAGGGUGUGGGGCUCACCCCAGCUCUGGGGAACCCGAGGACCCCGUGGGAACAGGGAUCCAGGGAGGGGCACCAGGGAGGUCAGGCGUCCGCUGUCCUCUGGUCCUGGGGCUUGGGACUGAGUGAAAGCCGUCACCUUGUGGGUCUGGGGGACUAGGGGACAUGUCUGGGCUGAAACAGAGCUUGAUCUCCGGCUGAUGAGCCCUGGGUCUCCCUCCCAGGACCACCAGCCAUGGCUCAAGGGUUAGCAGUGACUUCCAAUUCCCCGGCUUGGGCAGGGAGCCGGGCCAGAAACGGUGAAUGAGUGGGAAUUUCCAGGCUGGCAGACCUGCAGGCCCACCCUCCCUGGACAUCCUUGUGCUCAGAGCACCAGGGGAUUAGAAGCUGUCUGGAGCUCUGACAGCAGGAGGGGGAGGAGGCGAUUCCUGCAUUCCUGGCUGAGGACCUGCGGCUGCUGGGCUCUGCUCACAGACCGUGGGGGGAUGGGGGGGCGGAGGUGGCUCUACCUUCACCGUCUGGUCCAGCGAGGAGGUGGCCACCCGGGCCAGGGGGCCCCCAAAGCCGCAGCGCAGGUCCGUGAUGGGGAGCGUGUGGUGAGACCAGACGUGCCGGGGCGCCGGGAUCCUGGCGGGGUCAGCCUGCAGCACGCUGGGUGGCAUGGGGCAGGUGGUCAGCUGGCGGGGAGGGGAGGGACCACGGCAGCCAAACCUCCGCACCCACCUCACACACACACCUGCCUCUGCUCAGUAGCCUGGCCUGCCUCACCUGAGUAAACUCAAGCCUGGGCCCCCACGGCCGCCGGGACAAACCACACCCCAACAUGGGCAGACAGGACAGCUGGGACGAUCACGCCAUCCUCUGCACUCCAGCCCCCAGGAGAAGCCCCUUCCCGCCAGGGGCCUUGGCGCCUCCUUUCCCUGCUCGAGCCUGGGUGCAGGCCGGGUUCGCAAGGCUCGGACCUGCAGAGGCUCCAAGCCAGCACCAGGCAGUCCUUGCCCCCCGAGAUGAAGUGGCUGCUGUCCCCGGUGAACUGCAGGCAGGAGACGUCCUGGUAGUGUCGACUCAGGAUGACCAGAAGGUUCCCGGUGGAGACCUGUGAGGGGCGGAAGGCAUCCAGGUCGGGGAGGAAACGGGGCUGCAGCUCUGGGAACCACACCGCCGCCCCCUGCCUUCGACUGUGGGUGGGUCUGCCCUGGCAGGAGCCGGCAUACACAGCAGGGUAGCGCCCCUGCACAGACUGUGUGUGCGCCUGCUCCUGCCUCGUCCCCACCUGUGUGACCGCCCAGGAAGGGGGCACAUCUCCUGCCCUGCCCUGCCCUGUCGCCUCAGGUGCCGGUGUCGUGAGCCUGACCCUAGGGAGGGCACAGGCUUCCCGCACGGGUCCUGAAGGAACGGCUGCACUCAGAACCUGCAGGCAGCUCCCCCAGUUCAGCGGGACUGCACUUCCGAGCAGGCUGCGGUGGCCUGAUGGGGAUGGGGGCAGCUGGAGCCCCAGCAGGAAGCCAGGCAGCUCCAUCUGAGGACGAGGACAGGGAGCCCCUUCCGGGACGCCUGGCGAGGGCUGAGAGGCUCUGAUUGCUCUGGCGGGGGCUGCGGGUUGAAUCGUGUUUCCCCCCAGAAUCGUGUUAAAGUCCUGACUGGGACCUGUGAA